GGCCGUAACAAUAACGGUCCUAAGGUAGCGAAAUUCCUUGUCGGGUAAGUUCCGACCUGCACGAAUGGCGUAAUGAUGGCCAGGCUGUCUCCACCCGAGACUCAGUGAAAUUGAACUCGCUGUGAAGAUGCAGUGUACCCGCGGCAAGACGGAAAGACCCCGUGAACCUUUACUAUAGCUUGACACUGAACAUUGAGCCUUGAUGUGUAGGAUAGGUGGGAGGCUUUGAAGUGUGGACGCCAGUCUGCAUGGAGCCGACCUUGAAAUACCACCCUUUAAUGUUUGAUGUUCUAACGUUGACCCGUAAUCCGGGUUGCGGACAGUGUCUGGUGGGUAGUUUGACUGGGGCGGUCUCCUCCUAAAGAGUAACGGAGGAGCACGAAGGUUGGCUAAUCCUGGUCGGACAUCAGGAGGUUAGUGCAAUGGCAUAAGCCAGCUUGACUGCGAGCGUGACGGCGCGAGCAGGUGCGAAAGCAGGUCAUAGUGAUCCGGUGGUUCUGAAUGGAAGGGCCAUCGCUCAACGGAUAAAAGGUACUCCGGGGAUAACAGGCUGAUACCGCCCAAGAGUUCAUAUCGACGGCGGUGUUUGGCACCUCGAUGUCGGCUCAUCACAUCCUGGGGCUGAAGUAGGUCCCAAGGGUAUGGCUGUUCGCCAUUUAAAGUGGUACGCGAGCUGGGUUUAGAACGUCGUGAGACAGUUCGGUCCCUAUCUGCCGUGGGCGCUGGAGAACUGAGGGGGGCUGCUCCUAGUACGAGAGGACCGGAGUGGACGCAUCACUGGUGUUCGGGUUGUCAUGCCAAUGGCACUGCCCGGUAGCUAAAUGCGGAAGAGAUAAGUGCUGAAAGCAUCUAAGCACGAAACUUGCCCCGAGAUGAGUUCUCCCUGACUCCUUGAGAGUCCUGAAGGAACGUUGAAGACGACGACGUUGAUAGGCCGGGUGUGUAAGCGCAGCGAUGCGUUGAGCUAACCGGUACUAAUGAACCGU
rnacentral:rRNA from 1 species